rfam:Methanobrevibacter oralis strain DSM 7256 MBORA_contig000100, whole genome shotgun sequence.
AAAUUUUGCUACUUGUGCUAUCUGGGGGAUGGCUUGGCUUGAGUUGCCUAUGAAGGUCGUGGUAAGCUGCGAUAAGCUUGGGCGAGGAGCAUACAUCUUUUGAACCCAAGAUUGCCUAAUGGGACUUCCUAAUGCAUUUUUUUAUGUAUUGAUCCGUGAGGAUCGGGAACCCACCGAAUUGAAACAUCUUAGUAGGUGGAGGAAAAGAAAGCAAUAUGCGAUGUCGUUAGUAACGGCGAGCGAAAUCGACUCAGAACAAACUGAAUCCCGCUUAGUGAUUUGUGGGAGAUGUGGUGUAUAGAUGUAUAAUUUUUAUGGAGCUUUUUGGGAUAAAUUGAAUUCUAUUUGGAAUUUUAGAACCGUAGAGGGUGAUAGUCCCGUAAAUAUAUUCCUUUAAAAGUUUUUUUUUUAUAUGUCUUGAGUAGGAUCCGUUGGAUAUCGGGUUUGAAUAUGGGAGGCAUCAACUUCCAAUUCUAAAUACAUCUCAAGACCGAUAGAGUAGAAGUACCGUGAGGGAAGGCUGAAAAGUACCCCUAUAGGGGGGUGAAAAGAACCUGAAACCAGAUAGUGAUGGCCAGAUGUGGCGCGAAAGGAAUGAAUUCUUCCGAAAGAAUCAAUGGUAACGUUGUAGUAUGAGGAGGUAUGGACUAGUGUUGCAUCGUCCGUCUUGAAACACGGGCCAGGGAGUUUUUUGUUGUGGUGAGGCUAAGGAGUUUAACUUCGUAGUCGUAGGGAAACCAAUAUGUUCGCAGCACUAUUUUUGUGUGAGGAGCAAGGUCUUAAUAGGGCCUGGAAUCACAGCAUUAAAACCCGAAGCCGGUCGAUCUAUUCCUGGGCAGGAUGAAGUCGCUCUUACGAGCGAUGGAGGUUCGUCGAGUUGUUGUUCUGCAAAACACUCUCUUGACCUGGGAAUAGUGGUGAAAGGCCAAUCAAGGCCGGCGACAGCUGGUUCCACUCGAAAUGACUCUAAGGUCAGCCUGACUGGAGGUUGGUGGCGGGGUAGAGCACUAAUUGGACGUUUAGGGAGGGAAACUUCUCGGCGUACUGUAAAACUCCGAACUCGUCACCGUCGUAGAAGGUUGGAGUGAGGGGCGCGGGGUAAGCUUGUGUCCCGAAAGAGAAACAACUCAGACUAUGGUUAAGGCCCCUAAAUACUGGAUAAGUGUAAGGGAGUCUUUGGCCCCAGACAAUGGGAAGGUGGGCUUAGAAGCAGCCACCCUUUAACGAGUUCGUAACAGAUCACCCAUCGAGGUCAGAGGCACCUAAAAUGGACGGGAAUUAAUCCAGUUGCCGAUACCAUAGAACGCCAUUAUAAUUAAUUGGUGAUUGUGUAGAGUGGCGACCUGUGUGGGUUGAAGAAGGGGCGUGAGUUCCUUUGGACCUUGCAGGUAUGUGGAUCCUGGUAGUAGUAGCAGCAAAGUGAGGUGAGAAUCCUCACCGCCGGAGGGGCUAGGGUUCCUUGGCAAUGUUCGUCAGCCAAGGUUUAGUCGAUCCUAAGGCCAGUCAUAAGUUGAGCUGGUCGAAAGGGAAACAGGUUAAUAUUCCUGUACAUAGUGAAUAUACGGUGACGUUUUUUAGGCUAAUUUCUGACACUUUGAGAUAUGUUUUGUAGGAUCAUCUUCCUAUUUAAGUGUUUAAGCCUGGGGAGAGGUGUAAUAGCGAGAACCAGGUGUAGGCAUGAUGAGCUGCUUGUUUUAUAAAGCGGUUUAACUGAUUCAUGGAGUCCUUGAAAAGGGAAUUGGUUUUAGAUUUCACUAUUUCGUACCGAGAUCCGUCACAGGUGCCCCUAGCUGAGUAGGCUAAGGCGUGUUAAGGUAAACUAGCUAAGGGAAAUCGGCAAAAUGGCCCCGUAACUUUGGAAGAAGGGGUGCCAGCUAUGAGAAUAGCUGGUCUCAGUGACUAGGGGGGCCCGACUGUUUAAUAAAAACAUAGCUCUCUGCUAGCCCGUAAGGGUGUGUACAGAGGGCGACACCUGCCCAGUGCUGGCACGUGAAGCUGGAGUUCAGUUCAGUGAAGCGCCAGUAAACGGCGGGGGUAACUAUAACCCUCUUAAGGUAGCGAAAUGCCUUGUCGGAUAAGUACCGACCUGCAUGAAUGGUAGAACGAGGUCCCCACUGUCCCUAGCUAGAACUUAGUGAACCUGCUUUUCUGGUGCACAAGCCAGAGUCUUCCAUUGGGAAGCGAAGACCCCGUAGAGUUUUACUGCAGUCUGUCGUUGAGGCUUGGUUAUAGGUAUGCAGUGUAAGUGGGAGAAUUCGAUUAUAAGUCGCCAGGUUUAUAUGAUUCGUUAUUGAGACACCACUUUCUUAUGACUGUGUUUCUAACUUACCUGAUAAUUAAUAGUGUGUGAGGACAUCGGUAGAUGGGCAGUUCGGCUGGGGCGGCACGGGCUUGAAAUGGUAUCAAGCCCGCCCAAAGGUCAACUCAGGUGGGACAGAGAUCCACCGUAGAGUGUAAGGGCAAAAGUUGGCCUGACUGUAUUUCGAUCAGCAAGAAAUCCAGAGGCGAAAGCCGGGCCUAGCGAACCUCAGAGUCCUCCUUGAUGGGGGCCUGAGAUGACAGAAAAACUACCUCGGGGAUAACUGGGUGGUCGCAGGCAAGAGCCCAUAUCGACCCUGCGGCUUGCUACUUCGAUGUCGGUUCUUUCCAUCCUGGGUGUGCAGCAGCACCCAAGGGUGGGGUUGUUCGCCCAUUAAAGGGGAACGUGAGCUGGGUUUAGACCGUCGUGAGACAGGUUGGUUGCUAUCUAAUGGAUGUGUUAGUAGUCUGAGGGGAAGGUGGCUCCAGUACGAGAGGAACGAGUUGUCGGCGCCUCUGGUCGACCGGUUGUCUGAUAAGGCAUUGCCGGGCAGCUACGCGCUAGGUGAUAAAGGCUGAAAGCAUCUAAGCCUGAGGUAUCCCCUGAAAAUAGAUUGCUUAGGACGCGAGUAGAAGACUUGUUUGAUGGGGUAGGGAUGUAAGCUUCGAGGUAAUUGUUCCGAGUUGUUGAGUCCGCUGCUUCCAAUUGUUCGCUUGCAUUAUUU